CAACACCAACCAAUUGAGGAAGACUAGAAAACAUACAGUAGCACAAGAGAUGAAGAGCUGAGCACACAAAGUCAAGGUCAGCGAUCAAGAGGUGGCUUGCAGUCUGUCAGCAAACCUACACUCCAUUAAUUUAUUCGAUUAAACCAGAGAAAGACUAUUAUUCAAAUUCCGUGUAUCAUGUUGAUGACAAAUGUCAGAAAGCCUGGUUAUAUCCGUCUCCAAAUAUAUUAAUCUCCUAUUUACAGUAGACAGCAUUUUCGAUUUUGGGGGUUAUUUGAUGCCUACCUUUUAUUCUGUACUUUGGGCUUAAGUUGUUUUUUUGAUCCGGAUGUCCAUAUUGUCCUUAUCACGAAAUUAAAAGUAUUAA